AAAUUGAAGAGUUUGAUCAUGGCUCAGAUUGAACGCUGGCGGCAGGCCUAACACAUGCAAGUCGAACGGUAACAGGAAGCAGCUUGCUGCUUCGCUGACGAGUGGCGGACGGGUGAGUAAUGUCUGGGAAACUGCCUGAUGGAGGGGGAUAACUACUGGAAACGGUGGCUAAUACCGCAUAACGUCGCAAGACCAAAGAGGGGGACCUUCGGGCCUCUUGCCAUCAGAUGUGCCCAGAUGGGAUUAGCUAGUUGGUGAGGUAACGGCUCACCAAGGCGACGAUCCCUAGCUGGUCUGAGAGGAUGACCAGCCACACUGGAACUGAGACACGGUCCAGACUCCUACGGGAGGCAGCAGUGGGGAAUAUUGCACAAUGGGCGCAAGCCUGAUGCAGCCAUGCCGCGUGUAUGAAGAAGGCCUUCGGGUUGUAAAGUACUUUCAGCGGGGAGGAAGGUGUUGUGGUUAAUAACCACAGCAAUUGACGUUACCCGCAGAAGAAGCACCGGCUAACUCCGUGCCAGCAGCCGCGGUAAUACGGAGGGUGCAAGCGUUAAUCGGAAUUACUGGGCGUAAAGCGCACGCAGGCGGUCUGUCAAGUCGGAUGUGAAAUCCCCGGGCUCAACCUGGGAACUGCAUUCGAAACUGGCAGGCUUGAGUCUUGUAGAGGGGGGUAGAAUUCCAGGUGUAGCGGUGAAAUGCGUAGAGAUCUGGAGGAAUACCGGUGGCGAAGGCGGCCCCCUGGACAAAGACUGACGCUCAGGUGCGAAAGCGUGGGGAGCAAACAGGAUUAGAUACCCUGGUAGUCCACGCCGUAAACGAUGUCUACUUGGAGGUUGUGCCCUUGAGGCGUGGCUUCCGGAGCUAACGCGUUAAGUAGACCGCCUGGGGAGUACGGCCGCAAGGUUAAAACUCAAAUGAAUUGACGGGGGCCCGCACAAGCGGUGGAGCAUGUGGUUUAAUUCGAUGCAACGCGAAGAACCUUACCUGGUCUUGACAUCCACAGAAGAAUCCAGAGAUGGAUUUGUGCCUUCGGGAACUGUGAGACAGGUGCUGCAUGGCUGUCGUCAGCUCGUGUUGUGAAAUGUUGGGUUAAGUCCCGCAACGAGCGCAACCCUUAUCCUUUGUUGCCAGCGGUCCGGCCGGGAACUCAAAGGAGACUGCCAGUGAUAAACUGGAGGAAGGUGGGGAUGACGUCAAGUCAUCAUGGCCCUUACGACCAGGGCUACACACGUGCUACAAUGGCGCAUACAAAGAGAAGCGACCUCGCGAGAGCAAGCGGACCUCAUAAAGUGCGUCGUAGUCCGGAUUGGAGUCUGCAACUCGACUCCAUGAAGUCGGAAUCGCUAGUAAUCGUGGAUCAGAAUGCCACGGUGAAUACGUUCCCGGGCCUUGUACACACCGCCCGUCACACCAUGGGAGUGGGUUGCAAAAGAAGUAGGUAGCUUAACCUUCGGGAGGGCGCUUACCACUUUGUGAUUCAUGACUGGGGUGAAGUCGUAACAAGGUAACCGUAGGGGAACCUGCGGUUGGAUCACCUCCUUA
rnacentral:rRNA from 1 species